AUCGCUUCUCGGCCUUUUGGCUAAGAUCAAGUGUAGUAUCUGUUCUUAUCAGUUUAAUAUCUGAUAGGUUCUCUAUUUGAGAACUAUAUAUUAAAUGGGUUUUUGGAAAUAGGAACUGGAACAGGAGCUUGCUCUGUCCACUCCAUGCAUCAACCUGGUAUUGCAGUGCCUCCAGGCAGGGCCGUAGCCAGA
ensembl:snRNA U2 U2 spliceosomal RNA